AUGAGUGGACCUCAACCUACCUUGCUUCCUGGCCUCCACCGCUCCUCAUGUGCACACACACUGCCACACACACACUCACACCCGGAAAAGGCAAGGUCAGGACAGGCCUCUGCCUGGGCGCCUCCAGACCUCCGGGGCCUCUGCAGCCCGCAGGUCAGCGGCCCACGGCCCCUCAGCCUCUGGAGUGAGUCAAGUCGCAGCACAUGCUGGAGCAGGCACUCCGCACGGCUGGCACAACGGGCGGCCUGUUUCCCACACCCGACCCUGAGGAGGGUGCUCCGGACGAGUCCUUCCUGGUGCAAAGUGCGGUGCCAAGAGGGACCCACCUGGACCGGAGCGUCCCACCCGCGGCUGUGGACACUGGGGAGGGGGGAGCUUCCAGGCGCGAAGUGGGGCCAGGCGAAGGAGGCAAAAGACCCGGGUGGCCUAAUGCCCUCCUCGGCCCACCGCUCACCUGGUCCCUGGACAGAGGCUGGGAGCUCCGGACCGUCCCCCUCCCGGCCUUGGGAGACCGCAUCGCGAGCCCUCGCGAGGACCCGGGACGCGGGCGCAGCUUUGAGUCUUUCUGAGCGCCCCCUCCCCGCGCCUCCCCCGUGCCCUAGCCCGAGAGGAGACCAAAGGUGCCCCCACCCGGUCGCGUACCGCCUCCCCGCACCCGCCGCGGCAGGCACUCACCCGGGCGCAGGGCGCGGGGCGCGGCGCCCAGGAGCAGGAGCGCGGCGCCCAGACACGCGGCCGCCAGCGCUCGCCGCCGCNNNNNNNNNNNNNNNNNNNNNNNNNNNNNNNNNCCGCGCUCGGCCGGGCCCAACGGGGCCCGCGCUGGAGUGGGACCCGGGGCGCGACCUCCGUCCCGCCCCUGGACCCGCCCACGGGCUCUUGCUCAGACCGAACCCGAAACCCAGGGCCGCCCAGGAUCCGCGCACCAGGGCCGCGCUUGGAUCCGGACCCGGGACCCUCCCGGCGGCGUGUACACCACUCCACCCCCGAAGCGCGGGGAUGCAAGGGCUGUGCUGUCUGGGGGCCGGCCGGGACGGGGGUGGGGGGGUGGACUAG
rnacentral:lncRNA from 1 species